GAUGAACGCUGGCGGCGUGCCUAAUACAUGCAAGUCGAGCGAACGGACGAGAAGCUUGCUUUUCUGAUGUUAGCGGCGGACGGGUGAGUAACACGUGGAUAACCUACCUAUAAGACUGGGAUAACUUCGGGAAACCGGAGCUAAUACCGGAUAAUAUUUUGAACCGCAUGGUUCAAAGGUGAAAGACGGUCUUGCUGUCACUUAUAGAUGGAUCCGCGCUGCAUUAGCUAGUUGGUAAGGUAACGGCUUACCAAGGCAACGAUGCAUAGCCGACCUGAGAGGGUGAUCGGCCACACUGGAACUGAGACACGGUCCAGACUCCUACGGGAGGCAGCAGUAGGGAAUCUUCCGCAAUGGGCGAAAGCCUGACGGAGCAACGCCGCGUGAGUGAUGAAGGUCUUCGGAUCGUAAAACUCUGUUAUUAGGGAAGAACAUAUGUGUAAGUAACUGUGCACAUCUUGACGGUACCUAAUCAGAAAGCCACGGCUAACUACGUGCCAGCAGCCGCGGUAAUACGUAGGUGGCAAGCGUUAUCCGGAAUUAUUGGGCGUAAAGCGCGCGUAGGCGGUUUUUUAAGUCUGAUGUGAAAGCCCACGGCUCAACCGUGGAGGGUCAUUGGAAACUGGAAAACUUGAGUGCAGAAGAGGAAAGUGGAAUUCCAUGUGUAGCGGUGAAAUGCGCAGAGAUGUGGAGGAACACCAGUGGCGAAGGCGACUUUCUGGUCUGUAACUGACGCUGAUGUGCGAAAGCGUGGGGAUCAAACAGGAUUAGAUACCCUGGUAGUCCACGCCGUAAACGAUGAGUGCUAAGUGUUAGGGGGUUUCCGCCCCUUAGUGCUGCAGCUAACGCAUUAAGCACUCCGCCUGGGGAGUACGACCGCAAGGUUGAAACUCAAAGGAAUUGACGGGGGCCCGCACAAGCGGUGGAGCAUGUGGUUUAAUUCGAAGCAACGCGAAGAACCUUACCAAAUCUUGACAUCCUUUGACAACUCUAGAGAUAGAGCCUUCCCCUUCGGGGGACAAAGUGACAGGUGGUGCAUGGUUGUCGUCAGCUCGUGUCGUGAGAUGUUGGGUUAAGUCCCGCAACGAGCGCAACCCUUAAGCUUAGUUGCCAUCAUUAAGUUGGGCACUCUAAGUUGACUGCCGGUGACAAACCGGAGGAAGGUGGGGAUGACGUCAAAUCAUCAUGCCCCUUAUGAUUUGGGCUACACACGUGCUACAAUGGACAAUACAAAGGGCAGCGAAACCGCGAGGUCAAGCAAAUCCCAUAAAGUUGUUCUCAGUUCGGAUUGUAGUCUGCAACUCGACUACAUGAAGCUGGAAUCGCUAGUAAUCGUAGAUCAGCAUGCUACGGUGAAUACGUUCCCGGGUCU
rnacentral:rRNA from 1 species